GAAAUGCGAUAAGUAAUGUGAAUUGCAGAAUUCAGUGAAUCAUCGAAUCUUUGAACGCACAUUGCGCCCGCCAGUAUUCUGGCGGGCAUGCCUGUCCGAGCGUCAUUUCAACCAUCAAGCCCCCGGGCUUGUGUUGGGGACCUGCGGCUGCCCGCAGGCCCUGAAAACCAGUGGCGGGCUCGCUGUCACACCGAGCGUAGUAGCAAUCACCUCGCUCAGGGCGUGCUGCGGGUUCCGGCCGUUAAACAGCCUUACAAAACCCAAGGUUGACCCCGGAUCAGGUAGGAAGACCCGCUGAACUUAAGC
rnacentral:misc_RNA from 1 species